rnacentral:rRNA from 1 species
GAGGGUGCGAGCGUUAAUCGGAUCUACUGGGCGUAAAGCGUGCGUAGGCGGCUUUUUAAGUCGGAUGUGAAAUCCCUGAGCUUAACUUAGGAAUUGCAUUCGAUACUGGGAAGCUAGAGUAUGGGAGAGGAUGGUAGAAUUCCAGGUGUAGCGGUGAAAUGCGUAGAGAUCUGGAGGAAUACCGAUGGCGAAGGCAGCCAUCUGGCCUAAUACUGACGCUGAGGUACGAAAGCAUGGGGAGCAAACAGGAUUAGAUACCCUGGUAGUCCAUGCCGUAAACGAUGUCUACUAGCCGUUGGGGCCUUUGAGGCUUUAGUGGCGCAGCUAACGCGAUAAGUAGACCGCCUGGGGAGUACGGUCGCAAGACUAAAACUCAAAUGAAUUGACGGGGGCCCGCACAAGCGGUGGAGCAUGUGGUUUAAUUCGAUGCAACGCGAAGAACCUUACCUGGUCUUGACAUAGUAAGAACUUUCCAGAGAUGGAUUGGUGCCUUCGGGAACUUACAUACAGGUGCUGCAUGGUUGUCGUCAGCUCGUGUCGUGAGAUGUUGGGUUAAGUCCCGCAACGAGCGCAACCCUUUUCCUUAUUUGCCAGCGGGUUAAGCCGGGAACUUUAAGGAUACUGCCAGUGACAAACUGGAGGAAGGCGGGGACGACGUCAAGUCAUCAUGGCCCUUACGACCAGGGCUACACACGUGCUACAAUGGUCGGUACAAAGGGUUGCUACCUAGCGAUAGGAUGCUAAUCUCAAAGAUCCGAUCGUAGUCCGGAUUGGAGUCUGCAACUCGACUCCACGAAGUCGGAAUCGCUAGUAAUCGGGGAUCAGAAUGCCGCGGUGAAUACGUUCCCGGGCCAG